rnacentral:rRNA from 1 species
GGGCCCGCACAAGCGGUGGAGCAUGUGGUUUAAUUCGACGCAACGCGAAGAACCUUACCAGGGUUUGACAUCCUCUGACAGCCUAUGAAAGUAGGUUUUCUAACUUUGGUUAGACAGGGAGACAGGUGGUGCAUGGUUGUCGUCAGCUCGUGUCGUGAGAUGUUGGGUUAAGUCCCGCAACGAGCGCAACCCCUACGUUUAGUUGCUAACAGGUGAAGCUGAGCACUCUAGGUGAACUGCCGUUGACAAAACGGAGGAAGGUGGGGAUGACGUCAAAUCAUCAUGCCCCUUAUGUCCUGGGCUACACACGUGCUACAAUGGCCGGUACAAAGGGCAGCGAAGCCGUGAGGCGGAGCAAAUCCCAAAAAGCCGGUCUCAGUUCGGAUUGCAGGCUGCAAUUCGCCUGCAUGAAGUCGGAAUCGCUAGUAAUCGCAGGUCAGCAUACUGCGGUGAAUACGUUCCCGGGCCUU